CACCCUGUGUCUGUUCAGGAAGGCUGGAGCCAGCUCAGAGUACAGCUGGUGCUACAAGCUCAGCCUUUUCCCAUCUUCUGUACCAGUGCAAACGGAGCAACUAUGGAUGUUUGCAGCCGACAAGACAAAACACAUUAAAAAGAUGUUCUCGUGAUCCUGCAGACAUUGCAGGUGAUCUCUUUGCUUCAGGCUGGCUGCUGUCUCUGACCACUCUGCCAGGUAAAUACAGGUGAGCGUCAAAGUCCAGAACAGCGUGUGGUGAACAAUGAAGAGCUGUUGUUUUCUUCUGUCACUUUGUAUUCACAAAUAGCAAGUUGUAUUGUAAAGACUGAGAAAUACACCUAAGUAUGUCCAGGGAGCGAUUAGCAUUCUAGAUAGACAAUACAGAUCUCUUUGCACAUCUUCACAGCAGUGCUGUCUGCCCUGCCUGUGAGCGUGGGGAUUCCAGUGAUGCCGAUGUUGAAUUUUCCAGAAGGGACUGGGAAUAAAGACACGGGACAGGUUUGACAAGGCAAGUGCACUUCUACUGUUUCCAUAUGAGCUCAGUAAGAUAGCUGCUGCAGAUCUAAAAGGUUCUUAAGUCACCACUUCUUCAGGUCGGUUACAUACACUCCCAAGAAAAGAAAAAAUUGGCAUUCAAAACAAUUUGCAUCCAAAGAAAUCAAAGUGAAUGUCAUCAUC